GACGAACGCUGGCGGCGUGCUUAACACAUGCAAGUCGAACGGAGUGGCGAACGGGUGAGUAACACGUGGGUGACCUGCCCUGCACUUCGGGAUAAGCCCGGGAAACUGGGUUUAAUACUGGAUAGUGUGGGAUGGGCCCGCGGCCUAUCAGCUUGUUGGUGGGGUAAUGGCCUACCAAGGCGGCGGCGGGUCGCCGGCCUGGGAGGGUGGACGGCCACAAUGGUCCUGAGGGACGGACCAGACUCCUACGGGGGGCAGCAGUGGGGAAUAUUGCGCAGUGGGCGGAAGCCUGAUGCAGCGGCGCCGCGGGGGGAAUGACGGCCUUCGGGUUGUAAACUCCUUUCACCAUCGACGCGGUAGAUGGAGAAGAAGCACCGGCUAACUACGUGCCAGCAGCCGCGGUAAUUC
rnacentral:rRNA from 1 species